rnacentral:lncRNA from 1 species
GCCGCGUGACGAGGGUGGUCACUUCCGAUCUGACACUGGUGCCAACGCCAUUGACAAGGUCCCUUCUCCAUCACUCUCUCUAUUUUCGGUAUGUAGUUGGUGCUCUGUUCGUCAAGCUUCCUCUCUUCUCUUCUAAGGGCGCCGCUUUCCUCGUGCGACUCAUCAGAUCCAACCUCGCGUGGGCGCCGGCUAUGGAUGGAGACGUCGUUGCAGACCACUGGCACUCCGCCGCGGUGUUGAACCUGUGCAACUGCAACCAACUAGAGUUGUAGCACAUCUGCACUGGCACAGUCACCGCCAGCCCAACGAAGAACUCAUGUGUUUAGCUCCACCCACUCCUCUCGAUGGCUUCCCUAU